rnacentral:rRNA from 1 species
GGUGUGAUGACGAGGCACUACGGUGCUGAAGUAACAAAUGCCCUGCUUCCAGGAAAAGCCUCUAAGCAUCAGGUAACAUUGAAUCGUACCCCAAACCGACACAGGUGGUCAGGUAGAGAAUACCAAGGCGCUUGAGAGAACUCGGGUGAAGGAACUAGGCAAAAUGGUGCCGUAACUUCGGGAGAAGGCACGCUGAUAUGUAGGUGAAGCCCCUGCGGGUGGAGCUGAAAUCAGUCGAAGAUACCAGCUGGCUGCAACUGUUUAUUAAAAACACAGCACUGUGCAAACACGAAAGUGGACGUAUACGGUGUGACGCCUGCCCGGUGCCGGAAGGUUAAUUGAUGGG